AGUUGCAACCUGUUGCACUUUGACAACAACUUAUUCCACCACUGGCCAAGAAUAAUUAAUCAUCUCUACUUUGUUUGUUCAAGCAGUCAAGAUGGAAGUCGUAAAACAAUUCAAUUCGGAAAGUAUAGCACGAGCAAAGUUGCGGUGAGAGAAGUCAGCAUGUUUGUAGGCUGAGGAAUGCUGAGCGUGGUGUAAAUGGCCUCUCUGUGACCUGACCUUGCUGAGUGCUGACCGUGUUUUGUUACAAUGUUUACCUUUUAAUACUGAUGCUCUAGAGUUUGCUUUGGGAAAUCAGCAAUGCAUGAAUGUUUUAUUUUGGGAACAAACUUUUGUUUUUACAGGUGAUAGAUUGUUGGAGAAAUUUUAAAAGGGAAAUUGGUUUUGCUUACGGGUUUGAUUGUAACGAUUUGGGCCCAAAUCAUUUUUUCCAGCAAUUUUUUUUUAAUGCAUUUUCAUUGGAAAAUUAUAUACGCCGUUUUUAAGUGUAUUUUUGAUAUAACACAUUGAAGCUAAAAUUUAACUUGUUUUUAAUAUGUAAGCAAACAUAAUUUCACUCAAUGUUAUGAGGAGAAAUGACCAAAAUGUUGGUAAACCUUUAAACAUAAAUUAUGUAAGCUAUAUUGAAUGGGGUAGUUUGAAAAUUUUAUACUAUUAUUUUGACAAUGAUAAAUUGUGUUUGUGUUUUAAAAAUGCUAUGGGGAAGUCUAAUUUUAUUGGAAGAUGAUUUUGUUUUGUUUUUUCUUUGUUUAUACUAUUUUAGAGAUAAAUUGUAUCAUAUUUCACAAAGGUGGCAACUGUAUUGGGAAAUAAUGUUUUAAAUGUUGCAAUAGUUUCCUCUAGUAAAAUUAACAGUCUGGCAAAUUUUGAAGACAAGACAGAUUAUGUAUUAAAAGAAUAUUUUAUUGAGAUAUAUUUUGUUUUUUUUAGAUUUUUAAUUAUCAGGGACUUUAGUGUGAGACAAAUUGUUUAUUUAAUUUUUUCAGACUUAAAUUGCAAAUUACCAGAAAUUAGAGACAACUGUUAAACUCAUUAUUUGUUUAGAAUUCUUUAAAAAGGUCAUAUUUGAAUAAUCUAAAGUAAAUCAGUCAGAAAUUAUUAAAGGUUUUGUUAUUUAAUCGUAUCAAAUUUGUUAAGGUAACACAUUCCAAACACUUCUCUUAGUUUCAAUAAUUUUUGUUUUAAUGAUUUUUGUUUUGUUCUUCAUGUGAGUUUGAGAAUUUCUUAAAAAGUCUAGGGUUUUUUUUAUAAAUUAUAUGUUGUAUUUGUGAGUUAUAUGUUUGUGUAGGCUUCCUAUUUACCCAUCCCCACUGACCAACUGUAGACAAGGCUACAAGAACUUCAUGAUUUGCCGUGUUAUCAUGUGUUAUCUUCAACAUUGUGAUCGGAGGAUGAGACUUUGUCAAAUUCAAUGAAAACUGGGGAAACGCUGCUGGGGGCAAGGGCUUUUAAGAAGAGGAGAACUUCAGGCUGCAGUACACUCAAUCAAUGGCAAAAGCAGUCCAACAUCAUCGUCAACCAAAGUCGAUUCAUCAUCAAUGCUGUCAAGGAACGCUGGAUGGACUACAGACUAUAGACACCGAAGUGGGAGACAUCGCAGAAGACAUGGCUGUGGUCAAACAUCUGAAGACCAACGACUGUUCGAGGAGGCUUUAUCGACGCAACUGCUGAGGAAGUCCGCGAACAGUUGGUCAGUUCUUCCCCUCCUAAACCUUAUUUUAAUUUUGUUUAGGUACAAUUUUAAAAGAUUUUAUCAGUUUUUGUUAUUAUUUUUUGUUUUCUCUCUGAGUAGAUAUAUCUAUGUAGUUGAGACGCUGGGGACAUCGUCUGGAGGAAAUGGGGGGAUGUAAUAGGAGGGUCAAAUAUUGUGAAGAGGAAGUGUUUGGCAAUGUUGUGUGAGUAGGCUGGUAGUGUUGUUAAUAACUUGUUGUGCUGACCUACUGAAGGCUGUUGCUUUAAGUAAGCCAGUGCACUUGAUCAAGGGGUCAGUUUUGGUGGGUAGUGUUGGUGUGGUGCACCAGAGGACGGGGUCCUGCUGGGGGAGCUGGAGCCCAAGGCCCUUGGCCUUGGGUCCAGGUAAGAAAAUGUUAAGGGUUUUCAAAAUUGGGGUUUAGAGUCUUUUCCAAAUUGGGGUUUAAGUUACUAAAUUAUUUAUACAGUUCCAGUCUACUCUACCUUUUUGAUUGUUAGUUAUCUCUGUGUUCUUUGUGUUGUUUUGAGUAUUUAAUAAAGUUGGGUUUUGUAAGCGA